rnacentral:rRNA from 1 species
GAUGAACGCUAGCGGCAGGCCUAACACAUGCAAGUCGAGGGAGGAGCUUUCGGGCUUCGACCGGCGUACGGGUGCGUAACGCGUAUACAAUCUGCCUUUCACAUAGGGAUAGCCCGAAGAAAUUUGGAUUAAUACCUAAUGGUAUAUAGGGAUGGCAUCAUUUUUAUAUUAAAGCUGAGGCGGUGAAAGAUGAGUAUGCGUUCUAUUAGCUAGUUGGAGAGGUAACGGCUCCUCAAGGCUACGAUAGAUAGGGGUUCUGAGAGGGAUAUCCCCCACACUGGUACUGAGAUACGGACCAGACUCCUACGGGAGGCAGCAGUGAGGAAUAUUGGACAAUGGUCGGAAGACUGAUCCAGCCAUGCCGCGUGCAGGAAGACGGCCUUAUGGGUUGUAAACUGCUUUUGCAGGGGAAGAAUAAGGACUACGCGUA